CGUUGGAUGCGAUAAUACAAUCAAACAAUCCAUCCAUGGCGGACGGUUCGUUUUUGGAGGAGCUGCUCAAGAGGUUCUCUGAACUGGAGCUGCGCCAGGCGAGGCUGAGGGAUCAGCUGCAGCUCUACUUGGUUCGCGGCGCCGCAAGAGCGGCAGAAGCAGGGCAUGACGACCGCCACGGCUCCGGCAGUCCUGGGAGGAGCAGGAGUCGCCCUCUCCCAGAAGGCAGUGAGGCCGGCGGUAGCUACGGGCUCUUCCCCGGACGCUUCCACAAUGGCCCCUACUGCAGCGUGCUCCGCCACAUCGGUCACGCUCUUCACAUCUACCAUCCCCACUCCGGAGUGAUCAUCUUCUGGAAUCAAUCUGCAGAAAGCCUGUACGGAUGGGCGGACCAUGAGGCGCUCGGCCGGAACGUGGGGGAUCUACUGAUUCACGAAGACAAUGACAUCUCGCAUCUCAAAAGCGUCGUUGAAAUGUUAAACAAUGGCCAACCGUGGUCUGGCCAUCUCGCCUUCAAGAAGAGGUCAGGGGAAAUGGUUCCGGCCAUGGUGACCAAGACUCCACUCUACGAAGACGGCGUCUUCGUCGGCGUCAUUACGGUCUCUAGUGACGCCUCAUCGUUCCAUCAUGACAAGCACUCGGAGGAGUUGGACGAAAGUAGCUGCCAGAAGCUAAAGGCUCCCAAACUUUCAUCUCGUAGUCGCUCGUGUGGCGAGGUCAACGUUGAGAAUCAAACUUCUCGCGAUGGAAACAUGAAGACGGAUACAAAUGAAAUCAUGAAUCUGCCCUUGAUAGGAGAUGUGCCCCAACUCAAGACUAACUCAGGUGUUGGCCUAAGUGGAACACACAAGUAGUUCCUUCUCGGGCUCAACCAAGAGUUGUAUAGGUUCCAAUCGCGCUUGCACCACAUCCAAGGCUUCUUUGUCACCUUCAGUCAUGGAGAAUGAUUCUUCUUAAGAUGAUGAAGAUGGUGUAAGUCUCCUCUUUGUCUCUUGCUUUUGUGUCAUAAGUGCUAUAUUUGAGAGGUGUCCUAAGGCAAUCACCUUAUGAUUUGUACUAUUUAUUGGGUAAACAAAGAUUCACUAUUUGAGUGUA